CUCUUUUCUUUUUCUUUCUUCUUGCCCCAUUCCUUCUCUUUCAUGCUUCUCUCCAAUGGUAGAAAAAUUGCAGCACCCCCCUUUUCUUCUCAAGCACGAGCCCUUCUCCUCCUUUAUCUUCACCAACCAAGAGAAACCCAGCAGCUGUUGCUGCUGCCCUCUUCCGGCAACAAGGGAAGUAACCUUUUUUCUCCUUUUGUUGUUUUCCAGCCAAUUCCAGACACCAGAGUCUCUGCUAGAGCUAGCCGACGCCACCGGCAAUAAGGAAAAGCACAAGAUUGAGCCAACAUCAACCCCUUUUCUUGCUUUGUCCGAUUUUUCCAGCAAAAGGAGCAGCUUCAAAGGAAGUUGCAAGAUACGAGUUCGAGUGGAGCAUGAUGAUGUGCCGGCACUCGAAAAAUUUUGUUGUAUAUAAAAUGGGAGUGCGUAUUGAUACAAUCACCACCGUACUAUCAUUGGAUAUCUACAAUAUAAUCCAGGAUUAUAUUUGGAUAUAUGUGUAGGUGAUGUAUCAUUGUAAGAUUGGAUAUUUUGUAUUUGAUGUUAACUUGUUAAUACUUUUGGAUAUUUUUGAUUGUCAAUAUGUUUUGGAUAUUUGGAAUUUUGGAGAUAUGGACACUUGUUACUAUGUUUUGUAUUGUUUUUGACAGUUUUAUUAUUUGUUUGUGGGCA